UUAUAGGAAACAGUUAGUGUAUUAGGCUCUUAACCUAAARGUGGAAAUUUAUUUCCCUAUAUU
rnacentral:tRNA from 1 species